rnacentral:rRNA from 1 species
ACGGGAGGCAGCAGUGGGGAAUAUUGGACAAUGGGGGAAACCCUGAUCCAGCCAUGCCGCGUGUGUGAAGAAGGCCUUUUGGUUGUAAAGCACUUUAAGCAGUGAAGAAGACUCCUCGGUUAAUACCCGUGGACGAUGACAUUAGCUGCAGAAUAAGCACCGGCUAACUCUGUGCCAGCAGCCGCGGUAAUACAGAGGGUGCAAGCGUUAAUCGGAAUUACUGGGCGUAAAGCGAGCGUAGGUGGCUUGAUAAGUCAGAUGUGAAAUCCCCGGGCUUAACCUGGGAACUGCAUCUGAAACUGUUAGGCUAGAGUAGGUGAGAGGGAAGUAGAAUUUCAGGUGUAGCGGUGAAAUGCGUAGAGAUCUGAAGGAAUACCGAUGGCGAAGGCAGCUUCCUGGCAUCAUACUGACACUGAGGCUCGAAAGCGUGGGUAGCAAACAGGAUUAGAUACCCUGGUAGUCCACGCCGUAGACGAUGUCUACUAGUCGUUGGGUCCCUUGAGGACUUAGUGACGCAGCUAACGCAAUAAGUAGACCGCCUGGGGAGUACGGCCGCAAGGUUAAAACUCAAAUGAAUUGACGGGGGCCCGCACAAGCGGUGGAGCAUGUGGUUUAAUUCGAUGCAACGCGAAGAACCUUACCUGGUCUUGACAUAUCUAGAAUCCUG